rnacentral:tRNA from 1 species
GGGCGUGUAGCUCAGUUGGUAGAGCAGCUGACUCUUAAUCAGCGGGUCCGGGGUUCGAGUCCCCGCGCGCCCACCA